rnacentral:rRNA from 1 species
AUUGAACGCUGGCGGCAGGCCUAACACAUGCAAGUCGAGCGGAUGAAGGGAGCUUGCUCCUGGAUUCAGCGGCGGACGGGUGAGUAAUGCCUAGGAAUCUGCCUGGGAGUGGGGGAUAACGUCCGGAAACGGGCGCUAAUACCGCAUACGUCCUGAGGGAGAAAGUGGGGGAUCUUCGGACCUCACGCUAUCAGAUGAGCCUAGGUCGGAUUAGCUAGUUGGUGGGGUAAAGGCCUACCAAGGCGACGAUCCGUAACUGGUCUGAGAGGAUGAUCAGUCACACUGGAACUGAGACACGGUCCAGACUCCGACGGGAGGCAGCAGUGGGGAAUAUUGGACAAUGGGCGAAAGCCUGAUCCAGCCAUGCCGCGUGUGUGAAGAAGGUCUUCGGAUUGUAAAGCACUUUGAGUUGGGGGGAAGGGCAGUAAGUUAAUACCUUGCUGUUUUGACGUUACCAACAGAAUAAGCACCGGCUAACUUCGUG